rnacentral:rRNA from 1 species
GACGAACGCUGGCGGCGUGCUUAACACAUGCAGGUCGAACGGAAAGGCCCUGCUUUUGUGGGGUGCUCGAGUGGCGAACGGGUGAGUAACACGUGAGUAACCUGCCCUUGACUUUGGGAUAACUUCAGGAAACUGGGGCUAAUACCGGAUAGGAGCUCCUGCUGCAUGGUGGGGGUGGGAAAGUUUCGGCGGUUGGGGAUGGACUCGCGGCUUAUCAGCUUGUUGGUGGGGUAGUGGCUUACCAAGGCUUUGACGGGUAGCCGGCCUGAGAGGGUGACCGGCCACAUUGGCACUGAGAUGCGGCCGAGACUCCUACGGGAGGCAGCAGUGGAGAAUAUUGCACAAUGGGCGGAAGCCUGAUGCAGCAACGCCGCGUGCGGGAUGACGGCCUUCGGGUUGUAAACCGCUUUCGCCUGUGACGAAGCGUGAGUGACGGUAAUGAGUAAAGAAGCACCGGCUAACUACG